rnacentral:rRNA from 1 species
UACGGAGGAUGCAAGUGUUAUCCGGAAUUAUUGGGCGUAAAGCGUCUGUAGGUUGCCUAACAAGUCUGUUGUUAAAGGUUAAAGCUUAACUUUAAAACUGCAGCAGAAACUGCUAGGCUUGAGUACAGUCGAAGUAGAGGGAAUUUCCAGUGAAGCGGUGAAAUGCGUAGAUAUUGGAAGGAACACCAAUGGCGAAAGCACUCUACUAGACUUUUACUGACACUCAGAGACGAAAGCUAGGGUAGCAAAUGGGAUUAGAUACCCCUGUAGUCCUAGCCGUAAACGAUGGAUACUAGAUGUUGUGCUUAUGCAGUGUCCUAGCUAACGCGUUAAGUAUCCCGCCUGGGGAGUACGCUCGCAAGGGUG